CUCCUCUGGUUUCUCUUCAUAACGCACAAGUCUUUCGCCUUUUAGUAAAGACUUCCCUGGAUAGGAACAUGCUGUAUGGCUGAGCCUUUUGAAAUUGUGAAAAUCAAAGA